GACGAACGCUGGCGGCGUGCUUAACACAUGCAAGUCGAACGGUGAAGCUCCAGCUUGCUGGAGUGGAUCAGUGGCGAACGGGUGAGUAACACGUGAGCAACCUGCCCCUGACUCUGGAAUAAGCGCUGGAAACGGAGUCUAAUACUGGAUACGAGAAGGGUCCGCAUGGGCACUUUCUGGAAAGUUUUUCGGUUGGGGAUGGGCUCGCGGCCUAUCAGCUUGUUGGUGAGGUAAUGGCUCACCAAGGCGACGACGGGUAGCCGGCCUGAGAGGGCGACCGGCCACACUGGGACUGAGACACGGCCCAGACUCCUACGGGAGGCAGCAGUGGGGAAUAUUGCACAAUGGGCGAAAGCCUGAUGCAGCGACGCCGCGUGAGGGAUGACGGCCUUCGGGUUGUAAACCUCUUUCAGCAGGGAAGAAGCGAAAGUGACGGUACCUGCAGAAGAAGCACCGGCUAACUACGUG
rnacentral:rRNA from 1 species